UGAAUACGAGAUGCUACGGCGUCGAAGCAGUGUAUGUCAGACUUCCAAGAAAAGCUCGCAAUGUCAUAAAUAAAGAAUGCCUGUACCAUAACCGACACAGGUGGGUAGGUAGAGUAUACUAAGGGGCGCGAGAUAACUCUCUCUAAGGAACUCGGCAAAAUAACUCCGUAACUUCGGGAGAAGGAGUGCCUUCUUUAAGAAGGUUGCAAUAACAAGAUCCAAGCAACUGUUUAUCAAAAACACAGGUCUCCGCUAAGUCGUAAGACGAUGUAUGGGGGCUGACGCCUGCCCAGUGCCAGAAGGUUAAAGAAGUUGGUUAGCUUUCGCGAAGCUGAUGACUGAAGCCCUGGUGAACGGCGGCCGUAACAAUAACGGUCCUAAGGUAGCGAAAUUCCUUGUCGGGUAAGUUCCGACCCGCACGAAAGGCGUAAUGAUUUGGAUACUGUCUCGGAGAGGGACUCGGUGAAAUAGACUUGUCUGUGAAGAUGCGGACUACCUGCACCAGGACAGAAAGACCCUAUGAAGCUUUACUGUAACUUGAAAUUGAAAUUGGACUUUAUUUGCGCAGUAUAGGUGGAAGGCGUUGAAAGUAAUCUUGCGGGAUUAGUGGAGCCAUCAGUGAGAUACCACUCCUAUAAUGUUAGAUUUCUAACUUUGGAUCAUGAUCUGGUCAAAGAACAGUUUCAGGCGGGCAGUUUGACUGGGGCGGUCGCCUCCCAAAUGGUAACGGAGGCGUACAAAGGUUUCCUCUGAACGGGUAGAAAUCGUAUCUAGAGUGUAAAGGCAUAAGGAAGCUUGACUGUGAGAUCUACAAGUCGAGCAGGGACGAAAGUCGGUCUUAGUGAUCUGACGGUGCUGAGUGGAAAGGCCGUCACUCAACGGAUAAAAGUUACUCUAGGAUAACAGGCUGAUCUCCCCCAAGAGUUCACAUCGACGGGGAGGUUUGGCACCUCGAUGUCGGCUCAUCGCAUCCUGGGGCGGUAGUACGUCCCAAGGGUUGGGCUGUUCGCCCAUGAAAGCGGUACGCGAGCCGGGUUCAGAACGUCGUGAGACAGUUCGGUCCAUAUCCGGUGUAGGCGUUAGAAUAUUGAGAGGAGCCUUCUUUAGUACGAGAGGACCGAGAAGGACAUACCUCUGGUGUACCAGUUAUCGUGCCAACGGUAAACGCUGGGUAGCUAUGUAUGGAGAGGAUAACCGCUGAAAGCAUCUAAGUGGGAAGCCCACCUCAAGAUGAGUAUUCUCAC
rnacentral:rRNA from 1 species